rnacentral:rRNA from 1 species
UACGUAGGUGGCAAGCGUUGUCCGGAAUUAUUGGGCGUAAAGCGCGCGCAGGCGGCCUUUUAAGUCUGAUGUGAAAGCCCACGGCUCAACCGUGGAAGGUCAUUGGAAACUGGAAGGCUUGAGUACAGAAGAGGAAAGCGGAAUUCCACGUGUAGCGGUGAAAUGCGUAGAUAUGAGGAGAACACCCGUGGCGAAGGCGGUCUUCUGGAC